UACGAGGGGGGACUAGCGUUGUUCGGAUUUACUGGGCGUAAAGCGCGCGUAGGCGGAUCGCUAAGUCAGGGGUGAAAUCCCAGGGCUCAACCCUGGAACUGCCUUUGAUACUGACGAUCUGGAGAUCGGGAGAGGUUGGUGGAAUUCCGAGUGUAGAGGUGAAAUUCGUAGAUAUUCGGAGGAACACCAGAAGCGAAGGCGGCCAACUGGCCCGAUACUGACGCUGAGGCGCGAAAGCGUGGGGAGCAAACAGG
rnacentral:rRNA from 1 species